rnacentral:lncRNA from 1 species
CUUGCCAUUCUUCAUUCCAUUAAAUUAAACUUUGCCUCAACUCAUGCCUUGCAUUUCAUCCCAUUGAUUCAACCUCCUUUCACCUCCUCUCAUAUAGUUGUGUUUAAUUCUAUCAUUUGUUUCAAAUUUUAUCGAUUAUUUAUUUUUAGUAUUAUUCUAAUUUGUAAACCUGUAUGUUAAAAGUAUCUAUUUUUACCAUG